AUACUUACCUGGCGUCGAAGAUACCGUGAUCAUGAAGGAGGUUCCUCCAGGGUGAGGCUCUUCCAUUGCACUUCAGUGGAGCUGAGCCCUGUGAAUAUUCCUAAUGUGGAUAUCUCGGACGUAUUAUUUUUGUUAUAUAUAAAUAUCACUUCUGUAUUUUUGCAU